AGAGUUUGACUCUGGCUCAGGAUGAACGCUAGCGAUAGGCUUAACACAUGCAAGUCGAGGGGCAGCGAGAUGUAGCAAUACGUCGUCGGCGACCGGCGAAUGGGUGAGUAACACGUAUGCAACUUACCUCUUAGAGGUGAAUAACCCGAUGAAAGUCGGACUAAUACACCAUAUACUCCUUGGGUCACAUGAAUUGAGGAGGAAAGAUUUAUCGCUAAGAGAUAGGCCUGCGUUCCAUUAGCUAGUUGGUAAGGUAACGGCUUACCAAGGCAACGAUGGAUAGGGGGACUGAGAGGUUGACCCCCCACAUUGACACUGAGAUACGGGUCAAACUCCUACGGGAGGCAGCAGUGAGGAAUAUUGGUCAAUGGGCGAGAGCCUGAACCAGCCAAGUCGCGUGAAGGAAGACUGCCCGCAAGGGUUGUAAACUUCUUUUGUAUGGGAUUAAAGUCGUCUACGUGUAGACGUUUGCAGUUACCAUACGAAUAAGCAUCGGCUAACUCCGUGCCAGCAGCCGCGGUAAUACGGAGGAUGCGAGCGUUAUCCGGAAUUAUUGGGUUUAAAGGGUGCGUAGGUUGCAAGGGAAGUCAGGGGUGAAAAGCUGUAGCUCAACUAUGGUCUUGCCUUUGAAACUCUCUAGCUAGAGUGUACUGGAGGUACGUGGAACGUGUGGUGUAGCGGUGAAAUGCAUAGAUAUCACACAGAACUCCGAUUGCGCAGGCAGCGUACUACAUUACAACUGACACUGAAGCACGAAAGCGUGGGUAUCCAACAGGAUUAGAUACCCUGGUAGUCCACGCAGUAAACGAUGAAUACUAGAUCUAUGCGAUAUACAGUAUGGGUCUAAGCGAAAGCGAUAAGUAUUCCACCUGGGGAGUACGCCGGCAACGGUGAAACUCAAAGAGAUUGGCGGGGGUCCGCACAAGCGGAGGAACAUGUGGUUUAAUUCGAUGAUACGCGAGGAACCUUA
rnacentral:rRNA from 1 species